GACGAACGCUGGCGGCGUGCCUAACACAUGCAAGUCGCACGGGAUUGGGGGCAACUCCAGUUCAGUGGCAGAUGGGUGCGUAACACGUGAGGAACUUGUCCGACGGCGGGGGAUAGCCGGCCCAACGGCCGGGUAAUACCGCGUACGCUCAUUUGGGGACAUCCCCGGGUGAGGAAAGCAGCCGCAAGGUUGCGCCGAUGGAGAGCCUCGCGGCGUAUCAGCUAGNGGCGGGGUAACGGCCCGACCAAGGCUACGACGCGUAGCUGGUCUGAGAGGAUGGCCAGCCACAUUGGGACUGAGACACGGCCCAGACUCCUACGGGAGGCAGCAGUGGGGAAUAUUGCGCAAUGGCCGAAAGGCUGACGCAGCGACGCCGCGUGUGGGAUGACGGCCCUC
rnacentral:rRNA from 1 species